rnacentral:rRNA from 1 species
UACGAAGGGGGCUAGCGUUGUUCGGAUUUACUGGGCGUAAAGCGCACGUAGGCGGAUCGUUAAGUCGGGGGUGAAAUCCUGAGGCUCAACCUCGGACGUGCGAUGGAUACUGCCGGGCUAGAGGAUGGUAGAGGCGAGUGGAAUUCCCGGUGUAGCGGUGAAAUGCGCAGAUAUCGGGAGGAACACCAGUAGCGAAGGCGGCUCGCUGGGCCAUUCCUGACGCUGAGACGCGAAAGCUAGGGGAGCGAACAGG